GCGCCUUUAGCUCAGCUGGUAGAGCAACUGACUCUUAAUCAGUGGGUCGCAGGUUCGAUUCCUGCAAGGCGCA
rnacentral:tRNA from 1 species